rnacentral:rRNA from 1 species
AUGAACGCUGGCGGCGUGCCUAAUACAUGCAAGUCGAGCGAACGGACGAGAAGCUUGCUUCUCUGAUGUUAGCGGCGGACGGGUGAGUAACACGUGGAUAACCUACCUAUAAGACUGGGAUAACUUCGGGAAACCGGAGCUAAUACCGGAUGAUAUUUUGAACCGCAUGGUUCAAAAGUGAAAGACGGUCUUGCUGCCACUUAUAGAUGGAUCCGCGCUGCAUUAGCUAGUUGGUAAGGUAACGGCUUACCAAGGCAACGAUGCAUAGCCGACCUGAGAGGGUGAUCGGCCACACUGGAACUGAGACACGGUCCAGACUCCUACGGGAGGCAGCAGUAGGGAAUCUUCCGCAAUGGGCGAAAGCCUGACGGAGCAACGCCGCGUGAGUGAUGAAGGUCUUCGGAUCGUAAAACUCUGUUAUUAGGGAAGAACAUAUGUGUAAGUAACUGUGCACAUCUUGACGGUACCUAAUCAGAAAGCCACGGCUAACUACGUG